GGAGUGAGAGAGAGAGAGAGAGAAGGGGAGGGGCUGGCUGCAGCGUGACUUAAAUAUGCUGCAGCAACCAGCAUGUUCUGUCUUCCUGUCGCUCGUUCUCUCCAUCACAUGCACGCCUGCUUCCUCUUUAUUUCUCUCUCACACUUUCUCUUCUCUCUCUGUCCACUCAGUCUCUCUCUCCUCUUCUCUCUCAGUCUGCAUCCUGUAGCCCUGAAGUGCAGUCCUCUCUCUCUCUCUCUAUCGCUCUCUCCAUCUCUCUCUCUGCACCACUGUUGGAGGAGGAGUCACUGAUACACACACUCUCUUUCUCACACAGUCUGUGUGACCAGCCCAGCCAGCAGCCAGCAGGCCCGUUUCAGAGCAGGGAAGCCCAGGAGAGACCUAUCCCAGGAUGGAUGUACUGAUGAAGGGGUUCAGCAUGGCCAAGGAGGGGGUGGUGGCCGCUGCGGAGAAGACCAAGGCUGGGGUGGAGGGGGCAGCCGCUAAGACCAAGGAGGGUGUCAUGUAUGUAGGUUCAAAGACAAAGGAGGGAAUGGACGCAGGGGUAAACAUAGUUGCUAACCGCGACCAGGCGAACAUCGUCGGGGACCCCACUGCUGCUGGAGCUGACCUCUUACAGGGAGGCAUGGAGAAUACCGGACAAGCGGUGAGUUACCAUGACAACAGAUGAAAGAAUGAUUGAUCAAUUAUUAGUGACUGACAGGUCAAUGUGAACAAGAAUAUACUAAGAAUAUAAUAAGUGAUCAAUCAACACAAUAACUGGUAAGGAAUGUCAGAUUAGGACCGUUGACAUAAUACUAGACACAAUAACUUGACCUUAUCAAUCAGGUAGCCUCUGAAAGCCCAGGCUUCAGUCCUCGCGAGACUAUCAAUCAGGUGACACAGCACCCUUUUUCAGUUGAAUGCAUUCAGUUGUACAACUGACUAGGUUUCCCCCUUCCCCUUUACAACUGACUAGGUUUCCCCCUUUCCCUUUACAACUGACUAGGUAUCCCCCUUUCCCUUUACAACUGACUAGGUAUCCCCCUUUCCCUUUACAACUGACUAGGUUUCCCCCUUUCCCUUUACAACUGACUAGGUAUCCCCCUUUCCCUUUACAACUGACUAGGUAUCCCCCUUUCCCUUUACAACUGACUAGGUUUCCCCCUUUCCCUUUACAACUGACUAGGUAUCCCCCUUUUCCUUUACAACUGACUAGGUAUCCCCCUUUCCCUUUACAACUGACUAGGUAUCCCCCUUUUCCUUUACAACUGACUAGGUUUUCCCCUUUUCCUUUACAACUGACUAGGUAUCUCCCUUUCCCUUUACAACUGACUAGGUAUCCCCCUUUUCCUUUACAACUGACUAGGUAUCUCCCUUUCCCUUUACAACUGACUAGGUUUCCCCCUUUCCCUUUACAACUGACUAGGUAUCCCCCUUUUCCUUUACAACUGACUAGGUAUCUCCCUUUCCCUUUACAACUGACUAGGUAUCUCCCUUUCCCUUUACAACUGACUAGGUUUCCCCCUUUCCCUUUACAACUGACUAGGUAUCCCCCUUUCCCUUUACAACUGACUAGGUAUCCCCC
rnacentral:lncRNA from 1 species